CCAUAGUACUCAGCUUAGUUACGCGUGCGAUUGUAAACAAUGAAAAAAUGGGAUUGAAUCAAUGAGAAGUGUGAUUCAGCCCUCCCAACCGCAACAACAGCAACAAACAACCAUUAUUCCAGCGCCUUUAGUCAACAUUUCACAGCAGUAGGAGAAAUUCAAGAGGUUCCAUCAUCCGACCGGUCGGUAGCAAUAACGUUAAAACGACGAUUCUGCCACAAGGUUUGACGCUACAGCUACACUGCAUAUACAAUACAGUUCGGGAGCACCGCAAGCAGGAGGCAUCACUAUUGAAUUGACAGUAAUUUAGUUCACUACGGCGUUGUGGCUGUAGCACCAGGUUGCUGUCUGAGACAUACCAACACGCCGAUUUCCUUCGAUCGUUUUUGAAGCAUGCACGAUAAAAAUUCAAACGGUCGCAAAUCAAACGCAUUCACCCAAGCAAAUGGACAUACUGAGGGAUGUCAACAACCUGCGGAUAAUGGGGAUCACCACAAUGACCGAUAUAGCGAUCUUUCGUCCCUCAAAGUUUUCAACAAGCAAAUUGCACGAGAAAUAGUAUUCUUCCUACCGGAAGAAAGAGAACACGGAAAUAAUAAUUGUAACACUUAUGUACCAGUGGCAGCAGUUCCGGUAACACAGAGUUCCACACCAAAAUCGGUUUUUCCCAUCCAAUCAUGACGGGUGUUCCCAGAGCGCAAAAUUACACUACCUGAAUCAGGGAUAGAUAUCAAUAGAGGAAAAACUGCCAAUGAAGUUUCACAAAAGAAACCAUCUCUUGUGCCGUCCGGCCACUUUGGUAAGAAAUCUUGUGUUUUCCUAUUUGCGGCAAUUUUUUCUUCAUUCUCGUGAGACAACAUCGAAAAUCGCCUAGAUUCAGUGGGAAAAG